UCGAGUAUGGUGUAACGGCUAACAUUACCGCCUUUCAUGAAGUGACAGCACCAAACACCGCGGUAGCUCGGGGUUCGAUUCCCCGUACUCGAA